rnacentral:tRNA from 1 species
AAGAAAGCAAGCUGGAACUGCUAAUUCCACAAACCAUAAUUAAAAUUAUGGCUUUCUUG